GAUGAAGAACGUAGCGAAAUGCGAUAAGUAGUGUGAAUCGCAGAAUUCAGUGAAUCAUCGAAUCUUUGAACGCACAUUGCGCCCCUUGGUAUCCCGAGGGGCAUGCCUGUUCGAGCGUCAUUUCACCACUCAAGCCUGGCUUGGUGUUGGGCGACGUCCCCUUUGGGGACGCGCCUCGAAACGCUCGGCGGCGUGGCACCGGCUUUAAGCGUAGCAGAAUCUUUCGCUUUGGAAGUCGGGGCCCCGUCUGCCGGAAGACCUACUCGCAAGGUUGACCUCGGAUCAGGCAGGGAUACCCGCUGAACUUAAGCAUAUCAAUAAGCGGAGGA
rnacentral:misc_RNA from 1 species